AGGUCAUGGAGAUUUUAACAUUUUAAAUCAAAUUAAAAUAAGCACUUUAUCAUCUCACAUCACCUCAAGAAGAGAAGGGUUGAGACUUUUUCAGGUUUGUUGACUGGCUGAAGAGUGGAUUGGUACAGAAGGAAGCUGGCAUCGAGCAGAACAAUUAAGAAGCAAAUGCAAUUAUCUGGGAGAGGAAAACUAAGAGCAUACCCCAAAGUAGUGUUUCCCAAACUUGUUGCAUAUCAUAAUCAUGUGGACAGCUAAUAAAGCCCACCGAGGCCCAGGCUCUUUGACAUAGGAGAACUCAAGGGCCUUUGUAUUUGUACCAAAUAGGGGAUUCUGAAACCCAUACAUUUGAGAACCACUGAAGUGAAUUUAAGAUAGUGCGCUGAAGUCUUUAGAUAAAGUUUAAUGACUUUUUUUCUUUUUGAGGUGAGGAAUGGGUACAAGUAAGGAGUCCAUAUUAACUUCUAGGUUAUUGGCCACAAUGGCCAAUUCUGCUGUUGGUUAGAAUGGGAAGAGCUCAUUAGUUUUGCAUCUUUAUUAUUGGGAUUAAAGUUAGUCUUAUUUUCCUCAUUUUAUUGGUGUCUCUCUUCUGCAAAAUCUAUCCCAGUUGAUCCAUGAAAAGCUGGGGUCAGAAUCCCUCCUGAUGUGAUAUAAGAGACUAUAAUGGAAUUCACAUUGUAUAGUUCCCAGUCUAUGAUAAGGCCUUAAAAAAUCACAAGUGAUAAAUUACAUGCAUCUUAGAAUAUGUAUUUAUUCUUUAAGUGUGUUUCUCCAAUGUCAACUUGAUUUCUCUAUGAAAGAAAGCAUGUGACAUUCACUGUAGUGCUUCUAAUUUUGGCAGUGUUAAGUAUUUGCCCAUUGUUGCCAAAUCUUUUGUGAUUCACAGAAGUUUAAUAUGAGCACCCAAACUCUGGAUAAUAUUAAACCUUGUGAACGAUCAA